rnacentral:misc_RNA from 1 species
GUGAAUCAUCAAAUUUUUGAACGCAUAUUGCACUCCCCGGCAUUCCGGGGAGUAUGCCUGUUUCAGCAUCAGAAUCAUCCUCGAGCCCACGAGACGGACUCCUAACGCGUAUGCCGUCUUCUGCUUGAAAAAAAAAACUUGAAAUAAAUGGUCAAGUCUCAUUUUAGUCGAGACGCGUAAUAAUAUUAUUUCGCGAAAUCUUUAUUAUGUGACUAUCAAGUUUUGUUGCAUACAAAUUUGGUUUGUAUGCGAUCAAUACAAAUAUUUUGAACAUUAC